rnacentral:rRNA from 1 species
UGCCCCGAUGACUGGGACAACCCGAGGAAACUCGGGCUAAUACCGGAUGUAGUCUGAUUCCAUCAGGAGCCAGACCAAAGGAAGCUUCGGCCUCCGCAUUGGGAUGGGCCCGCGGCCCAUUAGCUUGUUGGUGAGGUAACGGCUCACCAAGGCGACGAUGGGUAGCUGGUCUGAGAGGACGAUCAGCCACAUUGGGACUGAGACACGGCCCAGACUCCUACGGGAGGCAGCAGUGGGGAAUCUUGCGCAAUGAGCGAAAGCUUGACGCAGCAACGCCGCGUGGGGGAAGAAUGCCUUCGGGUUGUAAACCCCUUUCAGGAGGAACGAAGGAUCGGCCGUUAAUAGCGGUCCGGUUUGACGGUACCUUCAGAAGAAGCCCCGGCUAACUACGUGCCAGCAGCCGCGGUAAUACGUAGGGGGCAAGCGUUGUCCGGAAUCAUUGGGCGUAAAGCGCGCGUAGGCGGCUCGAUAAGUCUGCUGUGAAAGUCAAAGGCUCAACCUUUGAAAGCCGGUGGAAACUGUCGAGCUAGAGUCCGGAAGAGGCGAGUGGAAUUCCUGGUGUAGCGGUGGAAUGCGCAGAUAUCAGGAAGAACACCAACGGCGAAGGCAGCUCGCUGGGACGGUACUGACGCUAAGGCGCGAAAGCGUGG